rnacentral:rRNA from 1 species
UCCUACGGGACGCAGCAGUGAGGAAUAUUGGUCAAUGGACGAGAGUCUGAACCAGCCAAGUAGCGUGAAGGAUGACUGCCCUAUGGGUUGUAAACUUCUUUUAUAUUGGAAUAAAAUGUUCCACGUGUGGGGUUUUGUAUGUACCAUAUGAAUAAGGAUCGGCUAACUCCGUGCCAGCAGCCACGGUAAUACGGAGGAUCCGAGCGUUAUCCGGCUUUAUUGGGUUUAAAGGGAGCGUCGGUGGAUUGUUAAUUCAGUUGUGAAAGUUUGCGGCUCC